UACGUAGGGCGCGAGCGUUGUCCGGAAUUAUUGGGCGUAAAGAGCUCGUAGGCGGCCUGUCGCGUCUGCUGUGAAAUCCCGGGGCUCAACCCCGGGCGUGCAGUGGAUACGGGCUGGCUGGAGGCAGGCAGGGGAGAACGGAAUUCCCGGUGUAGCGGUGAAAUGCGCAGAUAUCGGGAGGAACACCGGUGGCGAAGGCGGUUCUCUGGGCCUGUACUGACGCUGAGGAGCGAAAGCGUGGGGAGCGAACAGG
rnacentral:rRNA from 1 species